rnacentral:rRNA from 1 species
UACGAAGGGGGCUAGCGUUGCUCGGAAUCACUGGGCGUAAAGCGCACGUAGGCGGCUUCUUAAGUCAGGGGUGAAAUCCCGGAGCUCAACUCCAGAACUGCCUUUGAUACUGAGGAGCUUGAGUCCGGGAGAGGUGAGUGGAACUGCGAGUGUAGAGGUGAAAUUCGUAGAUAUUCGCAAGAACACCAGUGGCGAAGGCGGCUCACUGGCCCGGUACUGACGCUGAGGUGCGAAAGCGUGGGGAGCAAACAGG